rnacentral:rRNA from 1 species
CCUACGGGUGGCAGCAGUGGGGAAUAUUGGACAAUGGGCGAAAGCCUGAUCCAGCCAUGCCGCGUGUGUGAAGAAGGCCUUCGGGUUGUAGAGCACUUUCAGUGGGGAAGAAAGCCUUGGGGCUAAUACCCUCGAGGAAGGACAUCACCCACAGAAGAAGCACCGGCUAACUCCGUGCCAGCAGCCGCGGUAAUACGGAGGGUGCGAGCGUUAAUCGGAAUUACUGGGCGUAAAGCGCGCGUAGGCGGUCUGAUAAGCCGGUUGUGAAAGCCCCGGGCUCAACCUGGGAACGGCAUCCGGAACUGUCAGGCUAGAGUGCAGGAGAGGAAGGUAGAAUUCCCGGUGUAGCGGUGAAAUGCGUAGAGAUCGGGAGGAAUACCAGUGGCGAAGGCGGCCUUCUGGACUGACACUGACGCUGAGGUGCGAAAGCGUGGGUAGCAAACAGGAUUAGAUACCCCAGUAGUC